CAUUGAGGUGAUGAUACUCUAUUCGGAAAAUACAAAGAUGUCCGCUAUAGAAAAUAUCAGACUACAAUUAUCUGAUCAAUG